UCACUUUCAACAACGGAUCUCUUGGUUCUCGCAUCGAUGAAGAACGUAGCGAAGUGCGAUAAGUAAUGUGAAUUGCAGAAUUCCGUGAAUCAUCGAAUCUUUGAACGCAUAUUGCACUUUCUGGUAUUCCGGAAAGUAUGCCUGUUUGAGGGCCAGUU
rnacentral:rRNA from 1 species